UCUGUCUCCUAGGACCUACUUGCCCUGGGAACAUCUUGUUGGAACCAGCCCUAUCCUGCAUGGAGCUCAUUCUUUGUGGGACCACACUCCAUGUGCCUGUCCCAUGGUAGGCAGUUCAUGUCCAGGAUCUCAAAUUGGAGCACAACCAAGUGAUGUCCAUUUUAUGGAUGGUGCAAUUGAGGCCCAAAUAUGUCAUCUCUCUACUGUAAGCUGCCGUCCUGGGAGUGUCCCACAAGUGCCUGGGUCUUGGUGAAGGCUUGGUGAGUGGUGAGUGUCUGUGGACUUGACUUGUCCUCCACUGGGAUUUACGGUGGAUGUGGUGUGCCCAUGGCGAUGAAGGCCUUGGACUGCUCUGACUUGAACCGGUUGUCCAUCUAUGCCACGGAGAUUCAUUGAGCACCCAUCACACGCUGGACUUGGUGCUGAGCACUUGGGAGCAAAUCACAGACAGGGGUCUUUCUCUCAUAGAGCUUACUGUUGUGGAAGGGAGAUUGGCAUUAAAGAUUUAAUAAAAGUUAAAUGACAGCCGUGAUACAUACCAAGCAUCUUGUGCAUUUGGGGAAUAAAGAAGUCCGGCUGAGGCUGGGGAGGGGGCAGGGCCAGCAGGGCAUUCUGGGCAUUGGCCAUGGGGAACUUAGGCAGGAGAGGGAGCCAUCCAGGUGUGAGCUUGGGAAAGGCCUCCUCCCUCCCUCCCUGGCAACUUCCACAUGCCCUGGUUAAUCUGUCCCCCCUCCCACUUGGUGGUGGGGGCAGGGCUCUUCCUGAGGGGCCAGGCAUUAUGUGCUGACAACCUAGUUCUCUCGGCCUUCUGAGUUCUGUCCCUCUCUUUUGGGGUCCAUCCUACAACAGAAACAGGCUGAAGCCCUUCUCUCUGUGGGCCCCGUCCCCAGACUGUUCAGCUGCCACCCUGCCCCAGCGUUUACCUUAGGACCCUCACUUUGCCGCCUCACGCUGUGGCCCACAGCUCUCCACAGAGCCACUCUGCGGCAAGACACAGACACUUGUCAGGCUGUGGAUUAGCACUGCUGACUACUUCCUUCUCAAAUUGCUCUUCACUUCCUGAGCUUCUAGAAUGCUACUCACUCCCUUAUUUUUGGUCUGUAAACAUGUCCACGCAACUUCAGCCUCAGGGUCUUUGCAGGUGCCAGUGUCUCUGGCCAGAACGCUGGCUCCUCUCCCAGCUCUUCUUCCUUUCUGGGCCCCAUGGCACCUCCUCCCAUCCCCCAGCUGCGACCCUUCGCAGCACUUCAGGCGUCUUAUGAACCAUUUACUUGCUUAUUAUCUGCCUCUCAGAAACCUGCUCAUCUUGAUCCUCAUGGUCUGAGUCUGUGUUCAUGUGUGUGUACCUGUUCGGGGAGGGGCGGCGGCCCCAGGGUCUCUGGGGUGUUUGUUGGGUGUUCAGUGUGUGUGUUCACGUGAGAGAGAUACAGGGCAUGACAGUUCCCAUGUGUGUUCAGGUCGGGCCCACCUGGCGUGUGUACCUGGACAGGUAUGUCUUUGCGAGGGGACCGGCUUUGGGGGGAAUGCCGCGCUAAACCCGCGUCCCCGAUGCGCCUGAGGUGUGUGGGGCGGUGUCUGUGUGCGGGGAUCGUCGAGGUGUACGUGCCCGGUGGGGACACGCAGCAGAG